AAUUCGCGAAUAUCCAUGAUAUUUUUAGCGCGUAGGUGCGUGUGUUGGAAGAAAUAUUCGUGGUGUCUGGCACGGUACGCGUCUGGCACGUUCGAUGUGUAUAGAUAUAAACGGGCCUUAAUGGGUCAACGUCAUACGGUAAAGAGACGCUUGUGCACUGCAAAACCUGUAACUUCGGUUACUUACACUCCACGAACGUAACAGCGAGCGCGGUUACGAUAAAUAUUCGGGGAGAUACUGAGACAGGCUUCCGCAUUCUCUUGAACCCAGCCCUGACCACAGAAUUCGAAAGAUGCGUGUACUGCUCGCCGAGCAGUCGUGUUAUUAAGCACGAUUUGUAUCGAUAUCUCGUUCGUUAUCGACCAAUGUUAAUUACUCGCAUAUUGUCUUGCUGUUAUCUCGCACUUUCAAACGAUCUAACGAUUCGCUGAUGAGAUGAAAAAUUCUUUACAUCUAAAAUAGGAAGUGAAGUUUGGAUGAAUGAAAUAUUUGUGUGAAGUGUAGGAUGAAGAUGCCUGUCAAGUAUUUUGACAGGUUUGAAUGCACGUGUGUUGGCUGAUUUGUCUGAAAUUGUACACAUGUCUUAAUGGUUAUGGGUUUCUACCUGCGGCGAGUCGAGAAACGGCCAGUUCGAUGAAAGAAAAGAUGGACAAAACGUUCCAGGACGGUUCCGUUAGUUCGACCAGCCGAGAUGCCUACUCGAAAAGCGAGAAGAAGAAGAAGAAGAAAAGGAAGAAAGGAGGGAACGGGAUUCAGAUAUCGUUGCUUCACCAUUCGUUCAUUCCUUGCAUUUCCCAAAUAUUUUUCACACUUUCAAUCGCAUCGUUCGAGGCGAGUAGCUGACUCGCGGAACUGCUUAUCGAUGAAUAUCGAUAGCGUCGUGUAAUGUUAUCGAUAAUGCGAUACGAUAUCGUUAAAGUGAUUAAAUGACUGAAGCAGAACGUAUCGUGUAUACUCGUCAUUCUAAUUUAAUUGUACUUUGAGGUUAGCUUAGGUUUGAGUGCACAUAACAAAUAGAUUUGAAUGAUAAAAUUUAAACAAAAUUAACAGUGCAGUCUGGUUAAAUAAAUAUUUUAGAUUCAUUUAAUGAAACAGUAGUGAAAUAAUCUAACUUGGUAGACUGUCUAGAUCUAACUUAGGAAAUUAAAUGAAUAUAACUUAACUUAGUAAAGUUACCUAACUUUAACUGAGUAAAGUGACCUAAGUAACCAAACCUUAACCUAACCAAAAGGUUGUUAAUUUAAUUUACUCUGACUUACAAUUACAACCUAUUCUAACUAAUAUAGUAUCUGAUAAAUUAACCUAACUUAACUUUAAAAUAAUUUAAUAACCAGACAGAGUUAAAUAAUAAAACCCGACCUAACCUAUCCUAACUUAAUGUAGAUACGAGCAAAAUAAUAUUGCAUAUAACAGUCUGCUUCGGUCAUUUGCAUCGAACCCAACAUUAUCGAUAAUCAAUAUUUUAUUUCAAAGAAAAUUUUAGUUCCACGGUUAUUUCGUACCGUUCCACGCAUUCAAGUCUCUUUUCUCUUCUACUCAUGUCUGCUUUUUACCUCGUCGCGGAUCAUUCAGGAAUUCUAUCGACCAACACUUCGAGGAAAACAAACACGUUCAACGAGUUUACGUUCUUUUUCUUGUUCUUUUUUUUUUAACGGUGCAGAGAAACUACCAUGUUGAUCCGUACAAUUCAACUUAUUGGUUUCUCUCGAGUUGACUCGUUGAUCGACUGACCAACAUUCGACGUGCAUUAGAUUAUUCACGGAUCCUUGACAUUUAAUGCAUUAGUUCUGAGAAGUGCAGGAAAUUGUUUUGAUAUACUUUUAAUAUAGGACUGCGAUUUACUGUUACAUUGUGCUGUUAUGCUCUCACGUUUAGGAACAUAUUGCCAUAUUUUUCCUGGUUCACAAGUUACCAUAUAUUAUAUAAAAUUUUAUAU